GAGCACACAGAUUCUAGGCACCGGAGAAUUUGAUGCUGGGAUUGACGAUUGCAUAGGUGAAGCAAAUGCGUCUGAAAAUCCAGCUGUAGAAGAGACACACGAGAAGCCGGACCAGAGUACAAAAAAGUACUACGAUACUUUGCUUGCGGCACAGAAACCUCUUCACUCACAUACAGAGGUUACUCAGCUGGAUGCAAUCACACGCCUAAUGGCCUUGAAGUGCGACUUGAACUUGUCAAGAGAUGCAUUCGAUGAUCUUCUGACCAUCAUUGCCAGCAUUCUGCCGCAAGGGCAGAUACUACCGAAGAACAUGUACGAGACGAACAAAAUUUUGAAGACACUUAAGUUGCCAUCGAUGGGAUCCAAAAAUGUUCCGGUCAGUUCAUCUUCAAAUCUGCAUGAAAGCCCGGUAAUGCCUACGACGGCUUCUCAGCCUCCGCCUUAGGCCUGCACUUCAAUCAUCAGGAGGGGCACCGUGACUCCAGGAUUUGCAUCGCGGACGCCUUUGUCGAUGGUGCUCAUUGUCUUGCAAAUUUGGUUGUCCUUGUGAACAUCGCUUCAUGGCGGAUCGCUACGUAGUUGUUAGUUGCUGGUUGUGUUUGAUGUACUUGAUGGAUAUAAUUGUGAACCUUGCUCUAUGUACUUGUUGGUUGACGGAUGAGUGAUACUAUGCA